rfam:Aspergillus ruber CBS 135680 unplaced genomic scaffold scaffold00007, whole genome shotgun sequence.
GGUUCUGUAGUGUAAUGGUUAUCACUUUGGAUUCUGAUUCCAACGAUCCCGGUUCGAUCCCGGGCAGGACCU